CGCAAUAAACGAGACUUGAUCAGAAACCUGUCUUGUCUCCAUCUCUCGUGUCCCCUGUCCUUUGUCAUUCUCACUCCCCCUCUAGGGUCUCCGUUGACUUACCCGCGGGCCGGGACAAGUGGCGCCCAGUGUGGGGCCAGAGAACGGGGGAUCCAGUGAAGAACGCUGCUCGGGGGCCCAAUAAAAUAAAAUAGAAAAAAGAGGAUUGCGUCUGACGUGAACCUGCUGUCUUUCCUGCACCUCGAUCCGGUGGUGGCUCAAGCCAUCCAGGUCGGGGAGAUAGCUCUCCGAUUGGAGGAAGGGUCGAUCACUCUCCCUCGGAGUGAGGAGUUUGUAAAUACCCUGCAGGACGCCAAGAUGGCGCCAAGGCCCGAGCCCCUGUGGGACGGGACUCCUUCAAAGGAUGAAGGAGAAGACUUGAUGUCUUUUGAUAGUGACGAUGACUCAGAUAAGAAAAAACAAAAUGUUAUUGAUGAGGGUUUACAGGCGGGCUCUGCCUCUUCCAAGCCUUUUAAAGAAAAGCUUCGGCGCUCCUCAGCUUCCACCUCCGCUCUUUCAGCCCCUGCCUCUGACCCUGCCCCACCUGUUAAGGAGGAACCAGCCUUGUAGCCUUCCCUCUGCCACCUCAGACACCCCCCCUUCCCACAAAACGGUCCGGGGGAGGCUGACUGGACCAAUCUUGAGGAGGAGGCAACCAGAUAUUGCAAUCCUGAUUGGCCACCCGUAGUUCAAUGUCUGCCUCCUUAUCUUCCAGAACCCAACACUCCCAUUGCGCCUGCUUUGACAUGCCCUGUUGUUGAUCCCCAAAAGGAACUCCAGGACAAGAUAAAAUUUCUAAAAGAACAAAUAAGAUUAGAAAAGGAACAUCAAGAACUUAUUGCCCAGCUCAAAGGCUUAAGAACAGGCAAAGCCCAUGAAAAUGUCCGUAGAGAGGACAAAUUUAAGCCACGACCCCCCAUUAGAGGGGUGACCCCUAGGGUGCCAUCCGGGUCGGGAGUAUCCCUAAAACUUGAAAAUGCGGAAGCCUUUCCC